GACGAACGCUGGCGGCGUGCUUAACACAUGCAAGUCGAACGAUGAAGCCGGAGCUUGCUCUGGUGAAUUAGUGGCGAACGGGUGAGUAACACGUGAGUAACCUGCCCUUGACUCUGGGAUAACUGCUAGAAAUGGUAGCUAAUACCGGAUACGACCCUCGGAGGCAUCUCCAGGGGGUGGAAAGAAUUUCGGUCAAGGAUGGACUCGCGGCCUAUCAGCUAGUUGGUGAGGAAACGGCUCACCAAGGCGACGACGGGUAGCCGGCCUGAGAGGGUGACCGGCCACACUGGGACUGAGACACGGCCCAGGGUCCUACGGGAGGCAGCAGUGGGGAAUAUUGCACACUGGGCGCAAGCCUGAUGCAGCAACGCCGCGUGAGGGAUGACGGCCUUCGGGUUGUAAACCUCUUUUAGUAGGGAAGAAGCGAAAGUGACGGUACCUGCAGAAAAAGCACCGGCUAACUACGUGCCAGCAGCCGCAGUAA
rnacentral:rRNA from 1 species